rnacentral:rRNA from 1 species
UACAGAGGGUGCAAGCGUUGUUCGGAAUUAUUGGGCGUAAAGCGCGCGUAGGCGGCUUGGCAAGUCGGGUGUGAAAGCCCUCAGCUUAACUGAGGAAGUGCGCCCGAAACUGCUUUGCUUGAGUGCCGGAGAGGAUGGCGGAAUGCCCCAAGUAGAGGUGAAAUUCGUAGAUAUGGGGCGGAACACUGGUGGCGAAGGCGGCCAUCUGGACGGUAACUGACGCUGAGGCGCGAAAGCGUGGGUAGCAAACAGG